rnacentral:rRNA from 1 species
CCUACGGGUGGCUGCAGUGAGGAAUAUUGGUCAAUGGACGAGAGUCUGAACCAGCCAAGUAGCGUGAAGGAUGACUGCCCUAUGGGUUGUAAACUUCUUUUAUAUGGGAAUAAAAUGUUCCCCGUGUGGGAUUUUGUAUGUACCAUAUGAAUAAGGAUCGGCUAACUCCGUGCCAGCAGCCGCGGUAAUACGGAGGAUCCGAGCGUUAUCCGGAUUUAUUGGGUUUAAAGGGAGCGUAGGUGGAUUGUUAAGUCAGUUGUGAAAGUUUGCGGCUCAACCGUAAAAUUGCAGUUGAAACUGGCAGUCUUGAGUACAGUAGAGGUGGGCGGAAUUCGUGGUGUAGCGGUGAAAUGCUGAGAUAUCACGAAGAACUACGAUUGCGAAGGCAGUUCACUGGACUGCAACUGACACUGAGGCUCAAAAGUGUGGGUAUCAAACAGGAUUAGAUACCCCAGUAGUC